AUUGAACGCUGGCGGCAUGCCUUACACAUGCAAGUCGAACGGCAGCACGGGAGCAAUCCUGGUGGCGAGUGGCGAACGGGUGAGUAAUAUAUCGGAACGUGCCCAGUAGUGGGGGAUAACUGCUCGAAAGAGCAGCUAAUACCGCAUACGACCUGAGGGUGAAAGGGGGGGAUCGCAAGACCUCUCGCUAUUGGAGCGGCCGAUAUCAGAUUAGCUAGUUGGUGGGGUAAAGGCCUACCAAGGCAACGAUCUGUAGUUGGUCUGAGAGGACGACCCGCCACACUGGGACUGAGACACGGCCCAGACUCCUACGGGAGGCAGCAGUGGGGAAUUUUGGACAAUGGGCGCAAGCCUGAUCCAGCAAUGCCGCGUGCAGGAAGAAGGCCUUCGGGUUGUAAACUGCUUUUGUACGGAACGAAAAGCCCUGGGUUAAUACCCUGGGGUCAUGACGGUACCGUAGGAAUAAGCACCGGCUAACUACGUGCCAGCCGCCGCCGUAACAC
rnacentral:rRNA from 1 species